CCUGGGGCUGGAGCCUGAAGAGGAACUUGCCAGAGAUGCCUGCCACCAAAGAUACUGAGGAAUUGCUGGGACUGCCGUUAGCCAUGUACUCUGGGGAGACAGAGGACAACCCUGAGACACAGGCAUCCCAAAUUCUGGUGAUUCUUUGUGGAUCUUCUGGGAUUCCAUUCCUGAAACUCUGGCAAAGGAGUUGAGAGGUCCCAGAGAAGUGUGAAAAAAUAUAAAAUAUGAUGCUGAAGUCCAAACUAUGACACGGAACCAGAACAAAAAGAAGCACCAAAGGUGAUCAACA